UACGGAGGGUGCGAGCGUUGUCCGGAAUCACUGGGCGUAAAGGGCGCGUAGGCGGCCUGAUAAGUAGGGGGUGAAAUCCUGCGGCUUAACCGCAGGGCUGCCUUCUAAACUGUCAGGCUGGAGCACAGUAGAGGCAGGUGGAAUUCCCGGUGUAGCGGUGGAAUGCGUAGAGAUCGGGAAGAACACCAAUGGCGAAGGCAGCUCUCUGGGACGGUACUGACACUGAGACGCGAAAGCGUGGGGAGCGAACAGG
rnacentral:rRNA from 1 species